CGGAGUCAAACGCGUUUAAACCGAACUCUUCCCGUCUCCUUCAAGUUUUUCCCAAAUUGAGUUAAACGUCAACGAAUCUUAAUCGAACUUAACCUACAUGGAUAAAAAAUAUAAACCAUGGAAGUAAAGGAGACUGUCAUUAUGCAUAAUAAACAUUGCUUGGAUCUUGUUCCCUGGACCUUGGAGGACUUUUGGUGUGGAUGAUCAGUAUGCUCUGUACAUUGCAAUGGAAGCACAGUGUGAUUUCACUGAGGUAUGUAUAAAUUAUGAAAUUCUCAUCAC